GAUGGUCUCCUUCCAGCCCUUUCCUUUCCUCUUCCCAUCCACACCGGGAAACACUUGGGAUUUUCUGUUGCUCUUCCUGUCAGAAUCUCCGGGUUGAGCUUCCAUCUCCAUCCCUUCUCGUCUUACAAGCAGCCUUAUAGUUGAGGCACCAUGCUGGAGGUCACUUUAAGACAAGAUGAAGAGCCUUGCUCCUGGGGAGCAUCGGCUGCAGCUGGAAGAGCAGCAAACGAGGCUGGUAAGUCAGUUAACUCCAGGUUGUGGGAACCUUAAUGCUUCUGGGGAACUUAAUGAUGGAAGUACCGAAAAGCCAUUAGAAGUCUUUGAGGAAGAAAGAAAAGGGGGAAUCUUGUGGGCCGGAUGGCUGAAAAUGGUCUGGAAGGAGUGUCUGAAAGCAUAAGCCAGAAUUUGCACUUUUGACCCAACUCUUCCAUUUCUUAUUUGCUACCUGCAAUUGGAAAGGCCAGUCAGUAUGUGGAUCACAGGAUUUAUCAACGCUUGAUGCAGAUAAACUGAGUUCUAUCUUGGAAGGAUACAUCUCAUCUGAAAACUCCUGCACCAGGUAACCUAAGCUACAGAAUGCUGUUUCCUUGUGAAAACAAUUUAUUAGGCCCCGUGGAACCAAUAUCCUGGAGUUGUAGAGGAGAAAAAUAAAUUCUUGCCUCAUAUUUCCUCACCUGAAACAUGGAACGCAACGUUGUAAUUUCGAGGCCUGGGUUUUAUGUGAAGGUCGUCUUUAAGGGAUACAGCCAUAACAAUUUGGGCUGCAUAGCAGACGCUUUUAAGACUAUGCAAGUAUUUAUUAAGAAGUGUGCUUUCUAAAUCAACAAAGGAACUGAGUGGGACCUAAAGAUUCCUCUCCAGGAAGGUACCUUUGUCUCAAUGAUAGCUGGGACAUCGAGCCUCUAUGUUCUGGAAGAGUCUCUGUGUCAGAUGGCCGGCUUAAUGGCCUUCCCAUUUCCAUCACUAACCAUGUUGACAGCCUACCUUUUCCAACUGAUAUGCUGGCAUUGUAAUUUAUCUUCAAAAAAAUAAAUCACAUGUUAUAGCCU